rnacentral:tRNA from 1 species
AGAGAGUUGCUCGAGUGGUUGAAGAGGCACGCCUGGAGAGCGUGUAUGCGUUUUACGUAUCGUGGGUUCGAAUCCCACACUCUCUG